rnacentral:rRNA from 1 species
GACGAACGCUGGCGGCGUGCUUAACACAUGCAAGUCGAACGGAAAUGCCCCCUUGUGGGGUACUCGAGUGGCGAACGGUUGAGUAACACGUUAGUAACCUACCCUUGCCUUUGGGAUAACUUCCUGAAACUGGGGCUAAUACCGGAUAGGCGCUCCUUCUUCAUGGUGGGGGUUGGAACGUUUCGGCGGUUGGGGAUGGACUCGCGGCUUAUCAGCUUGUUGGUGGGGUAGUGGCUCACCAAGGCUUUGACGGGUAGCCGGCCUGAGAGGGUGACCGGCCACAUGGGGACUGAGAUACGGCCCAGACUCCUACGGGAGGCAGCAGUGGGGAAUAUUGCACAAUGGGCGGAAGCCUGAUGCAGCAACGCCGCGUGCGGGAUGACGGCCUUCGGGUAGUAAACCGCUUUCGACUGUGACGAAGAGUGAGUGACGGUAAUGGGUAAAGAAGCACCGGCUAACUACGU